ACUUCCAUAUGCCGCAGAUGUGGCCCUGAAAAAGAAAAAAAGGUUAUGUUGACACUGCACUGUAGUCUAGUAAGUGUGCAAUAGCAUUUUGUCUAAAAAAGCAAUGUGCAUACCUUAAUUAAAAAUACUUUACUGCCAAAAAAUGCUAACCAUUAUCUGAGCCUUUAAUGGGUUGCAGUAGCAACCUCCAAGAUCACCAAUUACGGUUCACUGUAAUAAAUAUAAUAAUGAUGAAAAGAUUUGAAAUAUUGUGAGAAUUGCUAAAAAAUGUGACACAGAGACAUGAAGUGAAUAAAUGCUGGAAAAUGGUGCCAACACAUUUGCUCAAUGUGGGGCUGCCACAACCUUCAAUUUGAAAAAGCAUGAUAUCUGAAAAGUGCAAUAAAGCAAAGUGCAAUGAAACAAGGUAUGCUUAUAAUAUAUAUGUUUGCAUUUGCAUACAAAGCCCAGGGGCGGAAAGUGGUACCAUCUGUGGUCCCCAGAGGAAGAAAAAUGGUCUCAGUUGCCUAAUAUGAAGAGUAAUGGAGAUUGGAUCCGAGCUCCCAACACAGCCCUCUCAAGAUCUUUCCAAAUUGUCUUUCCGCACAGUGAAGACACCCAGAAAAGGAGGGUGCUGCCUUUUCAGAGCUAGAAUGACAACACUAAAGGGCCCUGGAACUGGUCUGGCCACCAGGGGCUUUCUGAUCUCCCAGGUGCCCAUCUUUUGCUCCAGUCAGUCCGUUUGACAUCGGCUGGAACAGCUGAAGGGCUGGCGUAGGCAUCCAGAGGUAAAGGCCCUGGGGCUGGGACUCCUUGCUGACAAGACAAGAGCGAUGCUGCUGCCUCCCUGGAAGGGGAAUCGUGAACCCGGCCGAGAGGACGUGCUGGCUGCACAGGUUUGCCUGCUACCGGAGCCAGCGCAGUUGGUCGCAGGGAAUUUGAUGAAAAUAAUCAGCUGCAAACUGCUAAAAAACAAACAGACUACAAUCCAGAGGUUUAAUAACAGCCCCCUCAGCCAGAUGGCCGCAGGAGCCUUGCCAGGGAGAAAAAAAAAAAAAAAAAAAGAUCUCCCACCCUGAAUUUCCUCUUUGUUCUGGACCCUGCUCUCUUUGGAUGUCAUUGGUCUCCCGCCCCUUUCGUGCGCCAGCCACCCAGAGUCUUGUGUUCAGGGAGCUUAAGGCAGCUUUCCCCAGAUUAGGAUUUGGGGACAGGGAAUCCGGCAAAGAAGCGGCUUUCUUGUCCCAACAUGAGUCACCCUAAGUUGGAGAAAGCACACAGCUGUCUGCAUCUGGACCUGGAAUGCUGCUUCCUCCUCGGAGGAUGCUCCCAACAAGCCCGGGGCCCUUGUGGGUGCAGAGCAGGAAGUCAUAAGCAGGGCUGCCCUGUGUGGGGCAAGCCCUCUGGACACCUCAGUUCUCGCCAAGAGACCAUCAUGUCCCAGCUCUUGGGAAACUGAAUGCUAGUCUGUUUCCAUGUUCAGUUACAGCCACGCCUGGAGCAAAUGGUGGCCAGUGUGUUCUGCCAAACUCAGGCUCCAGUAAAAGCAUGGAUGUGAGAGUGAAGCCAAUGUGAGUUUGAAUCCUUGCUCUGCCACUGUGUGACCCUGACAACUUCUUUGACCUCUCUGAAGUUGCUACAUCAUUGCGUUUUAGUGAGAAUAAUAAAGAAAUGAUAUUUUCAAUGCAUGUAGCACACUAGCACACAGCAGGCAUUCUAUAAACAUUGAUUUUCCACACUCUUAGCCCUCUGGUUCAGAGCUUUGUGGUACUAAUUUUUCCUAUUACCCACUCCUUAAUACUUUCACUGAUCCAUGAUUUAAUAUUUCAUUCUUGGCUUUUGGCAAAGCUUCCAGGUACACUCCUGUCCCAUUUUUUCCCUGAGCCGAUUCCCAUCUCUCCUUUGUGGUUACGUUAGCUACUCUGUUUGCCAGUAUGUAUUUUGAUGUGCUAAGUUAUUACUAAUUCUGUUUGGAAGGAGACUAGGUAGACGUGAAGUUCAUCAGGCUCAUUUAACUUACAAGUUUACUUAAAACUUUCCUCCUCCUGUAAGAAGUAAUGCUAAUUUAAAAAAACCUUAACAAAGAAAUAUAUGAAUAUGUUUUAAGAUUAUAAAGCAUAGUAGUCAGGAUCAGCUGGAUUUUGCUGCUGUAACACACACCUCCCAAAUAUAAAUGGCUUGAAACAGCAAAGGUUCCUUUCCCCCUCAAGCUACAAAUCCAUUGUAAGUCGGGAGAGUCUCAGCCCAGCACUGCCCUCUCUUAGAUACUCAAGGUUCACCCUCUGCAAUGUUGUUGGCCCCUGCAGCUGUGGGGAGGAGGAGAUGAAGGGUUCCUUAGCACUUAGCUCUUAGCAGAACUGCCAGGUAGUAACACACAUCACUUCAAAUUUCAUUGGCUAGAGCAAGUCACACGGUCUCACCUAACCUCAAGGGAACAGGCACAUCCAAUCCUAUUGUGUUCAAGGUGGGAGAUAAUUGAUGAACACUAACGUCAACCACUUGGAAGCUCAAUGUUUUAGGAAGAAUGAAGGUAACCCUGCAGGCAGGCAGAAUGCCAAAAUUCCACCCCUGCCAUCCACCACUAGGGAUUUGCUAGUCAUUUGAAAAUCAGAAUAUGCCCAGAUAUUUGCAUAAAGAAGUUCCUUUUGUCCCCUCCUUCAUUCUUUGGUCCUCAAUUUCCAGUGUGCCUAAGAAUUACUAUCUGACAUUGCAUAGCAUCGUAUAUGCCAUCCUAAAGGGUUUUCAAAUGUUUUAGACAUACACAGUUCUCCCUGUCUGAAUUUAGAACCUGACCUAUUUAGUAUGUGAUGCUGUAGUAUUUGAUUAAUACUAAUGCCUGACUUUAUUGUUUUUUUAAGCUACUUUAUUGAAGUAUGAUUGACAUACAGAGAACACUAUAAUUGAAUGUCUACCAUCUGACGAGUUUGGAGAUGGAGAAACCGAGGGUCAAAGGGACUAAGCAAGCUGCCCGAGGCUACACAGCCCUCCAGGAUUCCAAUCCAGUGUCAGAACUGAAUUGAAUUGUAGGUCACCCAGCUGGUGGCAGAGAGUUGCUUGGUGGUGUGGGGGAACCCACCCCUCCCAACAUACAUCCACACUUCGGAAGUUGGUAUGAGUAUCUUUACAGCAUCAAAUAGCUUCACCCGUGCAUCUCAGUGGAGCCUCUCAAUACUGUGAAAGGGUAUUUUCUUGGGCAAGCUUCCCAGAAGGGGAUUAUGGAGUCGGAGUGUAUGAACAUUUUUAUGGCUUCAAAGUAUCUUUUGAAGAAGGCCACAGGCAGCUAUUGGAAUUGGGGGUCUGAAGAGCCAGCUCCCACCAAACAGCAAGUCGUCCACAUCAGCAAUCACCUAUCUUGGCGAAUGUUAUUUGUGAGGCACAGAUUGCAUGUUGGGGUUCACCUGGACUCACUAGCGGAAACUUACAUCACCCAUGGAAGUGCCAUGACACUCCAGCCACUUCUCACAUGAAGGUGAAAAACUCCCAGCUGUCUUCCCAUAUAUCCCUGGAUAACGAGGUAGGUGAACAGAGUUCUCAAUAGAGCCUGGGUGCCUUACUGAGUCAGUGGAGCACCGUGGAAUGUGCGUGGAAUAUGCAUGGGAGGCCAGAAGACCCAAGUUCAAAUUCCAGCUCUGCCCUUCAUAAACUUAAUGGUCUUGAGAAACUCCGCAACCUUAACCCUUCUGAGCUUCAGUUUUCUCAUCUCUGAAAGGUAUAGUAAGAUGCGCUCUGCCACCCACUGGGUUGUUGUAAUGAUGUUACGAGAUAGGUGGUAAAGAAGCUAGGAAGGCCCCUACCUACGUGGGUCAUCAUAAUCUUGUUUAAAUUGUAAGAAUACAGACCCGCUCACGCCAGCGCAAACCAAAGUUUUACUUUUUCAGCUUUUUGAAAGUGGGAAACGUAUGAAAUCUCACAUGUUAGAAUGGGAGCCCUGGCCGGGCUGAGCUCCCCAGGGCACAGAGCAGUGUGGGGAGGGUUGGGGGAGGUGUCUGAAUUCUUGGUGGCACUGGGACCCUGAAGAGGCUGUGUGGUGCUGUUCUUCAGGGCUCUACAUGUGAGAGCACUGAGUCACCAGAUCUAGGAACCAUAAAGCAAGUUAGGGAGGGAUUGUGCAUGCAGAGCCGGGGGGAGGGCCACAUUUUCUGAAAGCGCUGUCGUUUCGACCAUUUAAGGUAAUAUGUUGAUAUGGCGGUUGUUAAGAAUGUGGAGAAAAUAUUAGAAGCAGCAGUCAGAAGAAGGGGUGAGCUCACUUAGUUUGUGACUGCCUUUGGUGGUCAGGAGGUAUCAAAGGGUGGCUGAUUAUCCCACCAGCCAGUGUCACAGCUCCAUUCCUCGAGCCUGGCCCUGCCCUGGGCCUCCUGGCUGGCAUCUAUUUCUUGUACUUCUCCCCCAUGUUAGAACCCGGCCUUGCUUGCACAUGGUGGCAGGGAAGUUUGGGAUUGAUUUGGAGAACCAGGCUGUCCUCUGACAUAGGUGCCAGGCUGUGCUUCAGAAAAGGUGAGACAUACUCUCUUUUGACCAAAAUCAGGGUCCUCAGCCCCACCACCAUCCCCUCCACUGUGCCAGUUCCACUUUCCAUCAUGAUGCAGGAACCUUUGAAUGGUUGGAGCCACAUCCCUUCCCACUGUGGGGAAAUGCAAAAUACAUGGGCUCCCUGGCUCAGAGCAGGACUCUGUGAAAACCUCAGGCCUCAGUGAUGGAUAAGUGUGUGUCUCUCUUUGGGCAUCUCUUUAGGAGACAAAAGGGGACAAGUUUAGUUCAUCAGAAGUCACUGGGGCUUUCCCUUUAGCCUUGAAAUUUACUAAAUCAAGUAGCGUGGGCAGAGAGCAGACAAAUGGUUCUUAAGGUGAAAUUCACUCGAUGUUCCACCACUAGAGCUGAUUAAGAGUUUCGAAAUGAUCAUACCCAGUGUGGGUUGUGGCUCACUUGUAGGGCAUCAAUUUUU